rnacentral:rRNA from 1 species
CAGCAGCCGCGGUAAUACGUAGGUGGCAAGCGUUGUCCGGAAUUAUUGGGCGUAAAGCGCGCGCAGGUGGUUUAAUAAGUCUGAUGUGAAAGCCCACGGCUCAACCGUGGAGGGUCAUUGGAAACUGUUAAACUUGAGUGCAGGAGAGAAAAGUGGAAUCCCUAGUGUAGCGGUGAAAUGCGUAGAGAUUAGGAGGAACACCAGUGGCGAAGGCGGCUUUUUGGCCUGUAACUGACACUGAGGCGCGAAAGCGUGGGGAGCAAACAGGAUUAGAGACCCGUGUAGUCCCUGUCUCUUAUAA